rnacentral:rRNA from 1 species
UACGUAGGGGGCUAGCGUUGUCCGGAAUCAUUGGGCGUAAAGCGCGUGUAGGCGGCCCGGUAAGUCCGCUGUGAAAGUCGGGGGGCUCAACCCUCGGAUGCCGGUGGAUACUGUCGGGCUCGAGUACGGAAGAGGCGAGUGGAAUUCCUGGUGUAGCGGUGAAAUGCGCAGAUAUCAGGAGGAACACCAAUUGCGAAGGCAGCUCGCUGGGACGUUACUGACGCUGAGACGCGAAAGCGUGGGGGAGCAAACAGG